GAUGAACGCUGGCGGCGUGCCUAACACAUGCAAGUCGAACGAAGCGCCUGGCCCCGACUUCUUCGGAACGAGGAGCCUUGCGACUGAGUGGCGGACGGGUGAGUAACGCGUGGGCAACCUGCCUUGCACUGGGGAUAACAGCCAGAAAUGGCUGCUAAUACCGCGUAAGCACACGUGAUCGCAUGAUCGAGUGUGAAAAACUCCGGUGGUAUGAGAUGGACCCGCGUCUGAUUAGCUAGUUGGUGGGGUAAUGGCCACCAAGGCGACGAUCAGUAGCCGGCCUGAGAGGGUGAACGGCCACAUUGGGACUGGAGACACGGCCCAAACUCCUACGGGAGGCAGCAGUGGGGAAUAUUGCACAAUGGGGAAACCCUGAAUGCAGCGACGCCGCGUGAGGGAAGAAGUAUCUCGGUAU
rnacentral:rRNA from 1 species